UUUGAAUUUUUAAUCAUUUAUCCAUUGAUUCCCCUUAUUUACAGGUAGAAACAUAAAUAAUAAAUGGCUAAAAAUUCAAUUUUAUUCCAUAUUUCUAGGAGUAAAUUUAACAUUUUUUCCCCAACAUUUUUUAGGAUUAAC